GACCCAGCCUCCGCCCCUCCCCCUUAUCCCCCCCACUCCCUCAACUGGGACAGUGACUCCUGUCCCAAGAGGAGUGUGGAGAAAUGUGGAGGGAGAGAGGACCUGACAGGGGGGCACCUAGGCCUGAAGCUGGGGUCCGUCUGUGUCACCUUUGACCUUUAUCCUAAACAGUGCUCUCACACCUUCCCAACCCCCUGUUCGGAAACAAGACUGGAAGUGGAAAGUUCCAGAACUGAUGAGCCAAAGGACAAAACCGUGGGGAGCAGGCCUGGCCGCCGAGGCCCAGACCCUGGCAUUGGGCGCCUACGGCGGCUCUGGAGCACGUCUCUCAGGACGAACGGCCCACACAGAGAUCAGAUAAAUAUCACCCGGAAAAGAAUCUCAUAUACCUCUUUGGGGAAUCCUUCCUUCCCCACUCCUGCAUGCUCUCGCCAAAAAAAAAAAAAAUUUUAAAUAGAAAGACAAAGUUAGAGCAAAAGAAAAUAUGAAAAUAAAAGACAGGAGAAAAAGAAAACCUCACUGAAAUAGUUCGGGGAUUUACUUUUUUUUCAAUCCUCAGAAAGUCCCUCUCGCUACCUGGUUUCUAAAACAGACGGUAAACACAGAUGACAUCAGGUUGGGCAGCGCUGGUGUCUCACCGCCAGGGGCUCCCGGCAGGUGUGAGGCUGACAGGUUGAGAAAAGAU
rnacentral:lncRNA from 1 species